rnacentral:rRNA from 1 species
GACAGAGGGUGCAAACGUUGUUCGGAAUUACUGGGCGUAAAGCGUGCGCAGGCGGUUUUGUAAGCCGGAUGUGAAAUCCCCGGGCUUAACCUGGGAAUGGCAUUUGGGACUGCAAGGCUUGAGUGCGGCAGAGGAGACUGGAAUUCCUGGUGUAGCAGUGAAAUGCGUAGAUAUCAGGAGGAACACCGAUGGCGAAGGCAGGUCUCUGGGCUGACACUGACGCUCAUGCACGAAAGCGUGGGGAGCAAACAGG